AUAUAGUACAAUCAAAAUAGAAAAUAGGUCAGAAAAAAUUAGUAAAAAGCCAAAAAUUAGCGUAUGCACUCUCUUCAGCAACCUUGAUAACAUACUAAAAGUCCUCAUGUAUCCUCUUGGAGCUCUCCAUUAUGACAAGUUUUUUGUUCGAUUUCCCUAGUGAACUCCUAUAUUGUUAAAAAAUGUGAAAUUUCAGAUUCAUUUAUAGGAAAAAUAAGUUACAUCAUUAGAAAACUUACAAAAAACUACAUAUAAGACAUUUAAACGGCUACCUUGAUUUUGCAAGUUCUUCUUGAGUUAUGAGCUGUUGGAAACGUGUUGUCAGACUAGUACCCAGGAUUUUUGCCAGAUUUUGGCCGAUUUGUCACAUUUGGAACAGCAAUAACUCGAAAACCACUUGAAAAAUUUAGGUGACUGUUUAAAUGUCUUAUAUGUAGUUUUUAUAAGCUUUCUAGUGAUGCGAG